rnacentral:tRNA from 1 species
GGUGGCAUAGCCAAGUGGUAAGGCAGAGGUCUGCAAAACCUCUAUCCUCGGUUCGAAUCCGAGUGUCAUCU